rnacentral:misc_RNA from 1 species
AAUUCUCAACCAUUGAUAACUUUUUGGUUAGCAAAUGGCUUGGAUGUGGGGGUGUGCAGGUUUCUCUACUGAAAUUAGCUCCCCUGAAAUACAUUAGCUGGUUGCCUUGUGUAAACUUGUCUAUUGGUGUGAUAAUUAUCUACGCCGUGGACUAUUUGCCGUUUUUAGCACUGCUUAUAAUCGUCUGUUAGUUCAGACAAUAUAUGACA